rnacentral:RNase_P_RNA from 1 species
UCGCAGGGGCGCUCUGUCGCCGGCGUCCCAAAACGCCGGAGGAAAGUCCGGGCAACACAGAGUACCGUCCUUCCUAACGGGAAGAGGUUCGCAAGGGCCUGCAAAGCGUAACAGAGAACAGACCGCCUCGCCGAAAGGCGCGGUAAGGGUGAAACGGCGGGGUAAGAGCCCACCGCGCGGGUGGCGACACACCGCGGCACGACGCACGACGGGUUGCAAGAUCAUGUAUAUCGGCGCCACGAGGGCUGCUCGCCCCAUGCCGAAGGGUAGAUCGCACAGAGGCUGCCGGUGACGGCCGUCCCAGAUAAAUGACAGAGACCCGCCGAUCAAUCUCAUCCAUCGCGUUGAGAUUUUUCGAGGGCACAGAACCCGGCUUAUAGCCCCUACGAUGCU